UACGUAGGGGGCAAGCGUUGUCCGGAUUUAUUGGGCGUAAAGAGCGUGUAGGCGGUUUGGUAGGUCCGCUGUGAAAACUCGAGGCUCAACCUCGAGACGCCGGUGGAAACCAUCAGACUAGAGUACGGAAGAGGCGAGUGGAAUUCCUGGUGUAGCGGUGGAAUGCGCAGAUAUCAGGAGGAACACCAAUAGCGAAGGCAGCUCGCUGGGACGUUACUGACACUGAGGCGCGAAAGCGUGGGGAGCGAACAGG
rnacentral:rRNA from 1 species